rnacentral:rRNA from 1 species
GACGAACGCUGGCGGCGCGCUUAACACAUGCAAGUCGAGCGGUAAGGCUCCUUCGGGAGUACACGAGCGGCGAACGGGUGCGUAACACGUGCGUAAUCUGCCCCUCACUUCGGGAUAACCACCGGAAACGGUGGCUAAUACCGAUUACGACCAGUCUUCGCAUGAGGUGCUGGUGGAAAGUCUUUUCGGUUAAGGAUGUGCUCGCGGCCUAUCAGCUUGUUGGUGGGGUAAUGGCCUACCAAGGCUUCGACGGGUAGCCGGCCUGAGAGGGUGACCGGCCGCACUGGGACUGAGACACGGCCCAGACUCCUACGGGGGGCAGCAGUGGGGAAGAUUGGACAAUGGGCGAAAGCCUGAUCCAGCAACGCCGCGUGAGGGAUGACGGCCAUCGGGUUGUAAACCUCAAUAAGUACCGACGAAGCGACCUGUCGGGUGGUGACGGUAGGUACAGAAGAAGGACCGGCCAACUACGUG